rnacentral:rRNA from 1 species
UACGGAGGGAGCUAGCGUUAUUCGGAAUUACUGGGCGUAAAGCGCACGUAGGCGGCUUUGUAAGUAAGAGGUGAAAGCCUGGAGCUACAACUCCAGAACUGCCUUUUAGACUGCAUCGCUUGAAUCCAGGAGAGGUGAGUGGAAUUCCGAGUGUAGAGGUGAAAUUCGUAGAUAUUCGGAAGAACACCAGUAGCGAAGGCGGACUCACUGGACUGGUAUUGACGCUGAGGUGCGAAAGCGUGGGUAGCAACAGG